AGAGUUUGAUCAUGGCUCAGGACGAACGCUGGCGGCGUGCUAACACAUGCAAGUCGAACGGAGAUACUUUUGAAGCUUGCGAAGGAGUAUCUUAGUGGCGGACGGGUGAGUAACGCGUGGGUAAUCUGCCCAUAAGCGGGGAACAACAGUUGGAAACGACUGCUAAUACCGCAUAAACUGCCUAAGGGCAGGAAAGGUGGCCUCUGAAUAUGCUGCCGCUUAUGGAUGAGCCCGCGUCUGAUUAGCUGGUUGGUGGGGUAAAGGCCUACCAAGGCGACGAUCAGUAGCCGGCCUGAGAGGGUGAACGGCCACACUGGGACUGAGACACGGCCCAGACUCCUACGGGAGGCAGCAGUGGGGAAUAUUGCGCAAUGGGGGAAACCCUGACGCAGCGACGCCGCGUGAGCGAAGAAGGCCUUAGGGUUGUAAAGCUCUGUUUUAGGGGACGAAAGCUAUAGGGAGAAAAAUGCCCUGUAAAUGACGGUACCCUAAGAGGAAGCCCCGGCUAACUACGUGCCAGCAGCCGCGGUAAGACGUAGGGGGCGAGCGUUGUCCGGAAUUACUGGGCGUAAAGAGCACGUAGGCGGGAACUUAAGUCAGGUGUGAAGGACCGUGGCUCAACCACGGGUAUGCAUUUGAAACUGGGUUUCUUGAGGGCAGGAGAGGAAAGCAGAAUUCCUGGUGUAGCGGUGAAGUGCGUAGAAAUCAGGAGGAAUACCAGUGGCGAAGGCGGCUUUCUGGACUGACCCUGACGCUGAGGUGCGAAAGCGUGGGUAGCAAACAGGAUUAGAUACCCUGGUAGUCCACGCCGUAAACGAUGGAUACUAGGUGUGGGAGGUAUCGACCCCUUCCGUGCCGCAGCUAACGCAAUAAGUAUCCCGCCUGGGGAGUACGGUCGCAAGGCUGAAACUCAAAUGAAUUGACGG
rnacentral:rRNA from 1 species